GUCGGGGGUGAUCCCUAUUAAGGUAUGUGAGUAGUUAGUGUGGGUUGAUCCCUUUCCCCCACACACCAAGCCCCUUUUAUUUAUUGAGAAAGGAUUGGUUGUGUUUUUUGAAGUUGUUGGUUGUAUUUGUUGAAGUUUGUGGUUGUGUUGGUUGAAGUUUGUGGUUGUGUUGUUGAAGUUUCUUGUUGGUUUGGUGUAUGUUUCCGGUGGUGUUUUUGAGUUGAAUCUAUGGUAUAUUGAGGGUUUUAAUGAUUCUAAGUGAUUUGGGG
rnacentral:lncRNA from 1 species